rnacentral:lncRNA from 1 species
CAGGAGCAAUCCCUUUUGGGUUGUGGGUUCAAGAGCAUCUGCCACUGGGAAUUUCUUUGGGGUCCUUCCUUUAUCAGAACAGGCUCUGACCCCUGCCCGCAUGAGGGAAAACUGGAGAGCCUCCUGGCCAAGGUCAUCCCCUGAUCGUGCCCGAGCCCGGCCAGGCCCUCGGAUCUAUGGGACCCCCCUGUGCCUUCUGCUCAUAAAAUGACACGAAAGCGCUCCAAAGGUAGAAACAGCGUUAGUGAAGCUGACAAAAUGGCUGGUUCUUUGGUUUCUUCCUCUCAGAUCACUGGACAUUCUGUCAUUCUCUUGGUUCUGCGUGGGCUGCAGUUAAAAAAAUCUCAGCAAUAAAUCUGCUUGCCGUGUCCCUUCUUCACUCACACUGGCAGGAGAUAAGGCCGAAUCGCUGCACUGGCCGAUGCCAGCCUGUCCAGGAAGCAUCCCGCCUUCGUGCUUUCACUUUGCAGAUGGCUCAAGGUUACCAAGUCAGAGAAACAACCCAAGAACACCAGCAGCAAUCAUCGGUGUUCAGUGAUGCCGACUUUGUUGUCCACUAUGACUUCAAGAUCUUUUUUCAAGGGAACUGCUAUCUAGCUCUACUUCUGCCAUCUUGUACUUGGGAAGUUGAAUUUUUUGCAAGAUGGCUCCCCUGCUGGAUUCUGGGCUACAUUGAUUUCUCUUCCCUUGAAAGCUGCCAUGACUUCUGAAAAGCCUGGACCAGAGGCAGGGACUGCACUGACUGUGCUGGACUUGGACCCUGACUUCCUGAAGGGCUGAGGAUGCCCCCAUCGCCUGGAUUCUGAGGUGGUGUUUCAUUGAUUCUGUAGGAUAGAUGCUACUAAUCUCUG